GGGAAAAGAGUCGUAGCCAGGGUAGUCGAGAUCAGAGAGAAUUCAUCCUGCAGAAAAAGAUGCAGCAAAACAAAGAUGCCAUAAUGACCCUACGUCUUCAGCAGGAAGAGCUCGAACUGCAGAUGGCUAACGGGCUCGGUGAGGAAGAGGCGUCCUCUAAGAGGCGCAGGCACCAUAGCCGGUCUCGGUCACCCCGAAGGGAAUGGGCUGAAAGGGAGAGAAGUAGGUAUCGAAG
rnacentral:lncRNA from 1 species